rfam:Ictidomys tridecemlineatus contig070707, whole genome shotgun sequence.
GGGGAUAGAACUCAGUUGCUAGAGUGCUUGCCUUGCAUGCACAAGGCCCUGGGUUCAAAUCCCAGCACCACCA